ACACACACGCGCGCGCGCGCGCGCGCACGCGCACACACGCGCACACGCACACUUUCUAGCAUCGAAUCGACCCCUUCCGCAACCAUGUGUUCAUCCAUGUCCCAGGCUAGCUCGCUACCACCUUCAUCCGUCAUGUCCAAUAGUUUGCACGUCUCCCUCUCAUCACUCUCGCUGCUCUGGUUCAUUUCGGGCACUGCCCUCAACCCGGGGAGGAACUUCUACAAGUGUGAUUGCCAUGUUAUUCUCGAAGAUAAUCAAGCUUUGCUGAAGAAGAUAAUCAUGUUGUGCCUUGCUGAUCUGCUCACCAACUGUCUACUUCUUUUACCUUUCAAUUUCGACCUUUUCUGGAUCCAAGCCAGCAAUGCAUCAGUCAGUAAUGUUUUUUUUCCACCAAGGUCGUUGAUGUAGUAAUAGCUAGUAAUUUAAGUUUGGACCAAGCUACUCAAUGCAUAUCAAUGUGCGAUCCAGUAUUGGCUGGCUGUUUUAACUAUUA